rnacentral:rRNA from 1 species
UACGGAGGGUGCGAGCGUUGUCCGGAAUCACUGGGCGUAAAGGGCGCGUAGGCGGCCUGAUAAGUAGGGGGUGAAAUCCCUCGGCUUAACCGGGGAACUGCGUCUGAUACUGGUUGGCUUGAGUUUGGGAGAGGGACGCGGAAUUCCAGGUGUAGCGGUGAAAUGCGUAGAUAUCUGGAGGAACACCGGUGGCGAAGGCGGCGUCCUGGACCAACACUGACACUGAUGAGCGAAAGCCAGGGGAGCAAACGGG